rnacentral:lncRNA from 1 species
UUUUCCGUUACUACUAGCAGGACCGGCGAAAAGAGCAAGAGCAAACUUGUUCCCUUGGUCAUCAACACUAACACCAUCCUCCCUCAAGUCAACUAGAUCAUUAGUUACUUGCGGUUGCUCCGGCUUCACCUCUGGCUUUGGCGGCGGAGGUGGAGGCGGAGUGUAGUUCUCCGGAGGAGGAAGAGCUUUGAUCUCAUUCAUAUCAACCUCCGCCUCCUCCUCAGGAGCCGGAGCAGGAGGAGCUUCAAUCUCCUUCCGCUCCGGACUCUUCCCCCUCUUAGCUCUAUCCCUCACAAACUCCUCAAGCGUCUCCAACAACUUACU